rnacentral:rRNA from 1 species
GACGAACGCUGGCGGCGUGCCUAAUACAUGCAAGUUGAGCGCUGAAGGUUGGUACUUGUACCGACUGGAUGAGCAGCGAACGGGUGAGUAACGCGUGGGGAAUCUGCCUUUGAGCGGGGGACAACAUUUGGAAACGAAUGCUAAUACCGCAUAAAAACUUUAAACACAAGUUUUAAGUUUGAAAGAUGCAAUUGCAUCACUCAAAGAUGAUCCCGCGUUGUAUUAGCUAGUUGGUGAGGUAAAGGCUCACCAAGGCGAUGAUACAUAGCCGACCUGAGAGGGUGAUCGGCCACAUGGGGACUGAGACACGGCCCAAACUCCUACGGGAGGCAGCAGUAGGGAAUCUUCGGCAAUGGACGAAAGUCUGAACGAGCAACGCCGCGUGAGUGAAGAAGGUUUUCGGAUCGUAAAACUCUGUUGGUAGAGAAGAACGUUGGUGGGAGUGGAAAGCUCAUCAAGUGACGGUAACUACCCAGAAAGGGACGGCUAACUA